UGUGGGCCAUGUUCUUCAAUUUGU
rnacentral:miRNA from 1 species